AGCGAACGCUGGCGGCAGGCUUAACACAUGCAAGUCGAGCGGGCACUUCGGUGUCAGCGGCAGACGGGUGAGUAACACGUGGGAACGUACCCUUCGGUUCGGAAUAACGCUGGGAAACUAGCGCUAAUACCGGAUACGCCCUUUUGGGGAAAGGUUUACUGCCGAAGGAUCGGCCCGCGUCUGAUUAGCUAGUUGGUGGGGUAAUGGCCUACCAAGGCGACGAUCAGUAGCUGGUCUGAGAGGAUGAUCAGCCACACUGGGACUGAGACACGGCCCAGACUCCUACGGGAGGCAGCAGUGGGGAAUAUUGGACAAUGGGCGCAAGCCUGAUCCAGCCAUGCCGCGGGAGUGAUGAAGGCCUUAGGGUUGUAAAGCUCUUUUGUCCGGGACGAUAAUGACGGUACCGGAAGAAUAAGCCCCGGCUAACUUCGU
rnacentral:rRNA from 1 species